rnacentral:rRNA from 1 species
GACGAACGCUGGCGGCGUGCUUAACACAUGCCAGUCGAACGGAAAGGCCCUGCUUUUGUGGGGUGCUCGAGUGGCGAACGGGUGAGUAACACGUGAGUAACCUGCCCUUGACUUUGGGAUAACUUCAGGAAACUGGGGCUAAUACCGGAUAGGAGCUCCUGCUGCAUGGUGGGGGUUGGAAAGUUUCGGCGGUUGGGGAUGGACUCGCGGCUUAUCAGCUUGUUGGUGGGUAGUGGCUUACCAAGGCUUUGACGGGUAGCCGGCCUGAGAGGGUGACCGGCCACAUUGGGACUGAGAUACGGCCCAGACUCCUACGGGAGGCAGCAGUGGGGAAUAUUGCACAAUGGGCGGAAGCCUGAUGCAGCAACGCCGCGUGCGGGAUGACGGCCUUCGGGUUGUAAACCGCUUUCGCCUGUGACGAAGCGUGAGUGACGGUAAUGGGUAAAGAAGCACCGGCUAACUACGUG